rnacentral:lncRNA from 1 species
UAAGAAAACAAUUUUCUGAACAAUUUACAUUAUCCUGAACAGAAUUAUUAAAUAUAAUGAAAAGGAAAGGUGAAAGUAAACAAACACAUCUGUUAACCUCCUUAUUUGUUCACAUAUUAAAACAAUCCUCAACAGCUGUUCACCCAAUUUAAAUUAAACCAUUUAAAUCACUUGAAUAAUAAAAAUAUUUGGAUCCAUUUUUUCAUGAGUGCUCCUCAUAUAUGAUCUAUGGACAUACGCACAUAUAGACAUACAACACAAAACACAAGUGUGCACACAUAACAUACAACACAUAAGCCAAAGUAAAGGCCUUGUAGCUUUUCACAGGUGAAAUCUCCAUUGCAAUGUUUAAAAAUUCCACAGUCAAAAAAUAAAACUGAUCAGAAAAACGCUAACCUAGGUCUGAAAGAGCUCAAAAAAUGAAAUAGAACUUUAUGAUGUGGGAAAAGGCAAUAAUAAAAUAGAUAUUGAAAAAGACAUCCUGGUUACCACCUGGGUUUGACUCCUUUUUGGAUAACCCAUCCUUUUUCCUGUAACUUGCAUAAUGGGUCUGAAGGUAUUUCCACAAGCAAGCCCCAAGGUUUUUUACAUUUGAAAUAGGCUUUAAUGGUGUUCAUUAUUCAUUAGCCUCCAGGUGUGGGAGAACCACUGUUGCAGAUCAAGAAUAGCCAAGUUGGAGCUCUGGAUAUCAGCUGUUAUGGAUUUGAGCCAAAUCAUCUUCUUUUUGGUCUGUAGAAAUCACUUUAGUUAGUCUCUCUGGAAUCCAAAUCGGCUGCUGUUCUCCCUGUGGAAACACACAAAACAGAACCCGACUCCAGACAAUCACUGGGUCAGGACCUUUCCAUUGUCGUGUUAGAAUAUCCUUCCAAAUUACCUU